rnacentral:rRNA from 1 species
AAACUACUCUCAACAACGGAUAUCUUGGUUCUCGCAACGAUGAAGAACGCAGCGAAAUGCGAUACGUAGUGUGAAUUGCAGAAUUCCGUGAAUCAUCGAAUCUUUGAACGCAUAUUGCCGCUGCAGGCAUUUUGCCGGCAGCAUAUGUGCCUGAGUGUCAUAAGU